GUUGUAUGGUUAAGUGACUAAGCGUACACGGUGGAUGCCUUGGCAGUCAGAGGCGAUGAAAGACGUAGUAACUUGCGAUAAGCCCAGAUUAGGUAGUAACAACCAUUUGAGUCUGGGAUUUCUGAAUGGGGAAACCCACGUGCAUAAGCACGUAUCCUUACCUGAAUACAUAGGGUAAGGAGGCGAACCGGGGGAACUGAAACAUCUAAGUACCCCGAGGAAAAGAAAUCAACCGAGAUUCCGAAAGUAGCGGCGAGCGAAAUUGGACUAGCCCUUAAGCUUUACACGCGUUAGACGAACGGUCUGGAAAGUCCGACGAUACAGGGUGAUAGUCCCGUAGUUGACGACGUGUGUUCAGUGAAAUCGAGUAGGGCGGGACACGUGAUAUCCUGUCUGAAUAUGGGGGGACCAUCCUCCAAGGCUAAAUACUACUGACUGACCGAUAGUGAACCAGUACCGUGAGGGAAAGGCGAAAAGAACCCCUGUGAGGGGAGUGAAAUAGAACCUGAAACCGUGUACGUACAAGCAGUAGGAGCAGGCUUUGUCCUGUGACUGCGUACCUUUUGUAUAAUGGGUCAGCGACUUAUAUUCAGUGGCAAGGUUAACCAUCUAGGGGAGCCGUAGGGAAACCGAGUCUUAACUGGGCGUUCAGUCUCUGGAUAUAGACCCGAAACCAGGUGAUCUAGCCAUGGGCAGGUUGAAGGUUGAGUAACAUCAACUGGAGGACCGAACCGACUAAUGUUGAAAAAUUAGCGGAUGACUUGUGGCUAGGGGUGAAAGGCCAAUCAAACCUGGAGAUAGCUGGUUCUCCCCGAAAGCUAUUUAGGUAGCGCCUCGGACGAAUACUACUGGGGGUAGAGCACUGUUAAGGCUAGGGGGUCAUCCCGACUUACCAACCCUUUGCAAACUCCGAAUACCAGUAAGUACUAUCCGGGAGACACACGGCGGGUGCUAACGUCCGUCGUGGAGAGGGAAACAACCCAGACCGCCAGCUAAGGUCCCAAAUUACUACUAAGUGGGAAACGAUGUGGGAAGGCUCAGACAGCCAGGAUGUUGGCUUAGAAGCAGCCAUCAUUUAAAGAAAGCGUAAUAGCUCACUGGUCGAGUCGGCCUGCGCGGAAGAUGUAACGGGGCUAAGUAGUAAACCGAAGCUGCGGCAAUGUGCUUUUGCACAUUGGGUAGGGGAGCGUUCUGUAAGCGGUUGAAGGUGUGUGGUAACGCAUGCUGGACGUAUCAGAAGUGCGAAUGCUGACAUGAGUAACGAUAAAGGGGGUGAAAAACCUCCUCGCCGGAAGACCAAGGGUUCCUGUCCAACGUUAAUCGGGGCAGGGUAAGUCGACCCCUAAGGCGAGGCCGAAAGGCGUAGUCGAUGGGAAACGGGUUAAUAUUCCCGUACUUCUUACAAUUGCGAUGGGGGGACGGAGAAGGCUAGGUGGGCCUGGCGACGGUUGUCCAGGUUCAAGUGCGUAGGCUUGAGAGUUAGGUAAAUCCGGCUCUUUUUAAGGCUGAGACACGACGUCGAGCACCUACGGGUGUGAAGUCAUUGAUGCCAUGCUUCCAGGAAAAGCCUCUAAGCUUCAGAUUGUAAGGAAUCGUACCCCAAACCGACACAGGUGGUCGGGUAGAGAAUACCAAGGCGCUUGAGAGAACUCGGGUGAAGGAACUAGGCAAAAUGGUACCGUAACUUCGGGAGAAGGUACGCUCUCGACGGUGAAGUCCCUUGCGGAUGGAGCUAUUGAGAGUCGCAGAUACCAGGUGGCUGCAACUGUUUAUUAAAAACACAGCACUGUGCAAAAUCGUAAGAUGACGUAUACGGUGUGACGCCUGCCCGGUGCCGGAAGGUUAAUUGAUGGGGUUAGACUUCGGUCGAAGCUCUUGAUCGAAGCCCCGGUAAACGGCGGCCGUAACUAUAACGGUCCUAAGGUAGCGAAAUUCCUUGUCGGGUAAGUUCCGACCUGCACGAAUGGCGUAAUGAUGGCCACGCUGUCUCCACCCGAGACUCAGUGAAAUUGAAAUCGCUGUGAAGAUGCAGUGUACCCGCGGCUAGACGGAAAGACCCCGUGAACCUUUACUACAGCUUGGCACUGAACAUUGACCCUACAUGUGUAGGAUAGGUGGGAGGCUUUGAAGCACGUACGCCAGUAUGUGUGGAGCCGUCCUUGAAAUACCACCCUUGUAGUGUUGAUGUUCUAACGUCGACCCCUUAUCGGGGUUGCGGACAGUGCCUGGUGGGUAGUUUGACUGGGGCGGUCUCCUCCCAAAGAGUAACGGAGGAGCACGAAGGUGGGCUAAUCACGGUUGGACAUCGUGAGGUUAGUGCAAUGGCAUAAGCCCGCUUGACUGCGAGAAUGACAAUUCGAGCAGGUGCGAAAGCAGGUCAUAGUGAUCCGGUGGUUCUGAAUGGAAGGGCCAUCGCUCAACGGAUAAAAGGUACUCCGGGGAUAACAGGCUGAUACCGCCCAAGAGUUCAUAUCGACGGCGGUGUUUGGCACCUCGAUGUCGGCUCAUCACAUCCUGGGGCUGAAGUCGGUCCCAAGGGUAUGGCUGUUCGCCAUUUAAAGUGGUACGCGAGCUGGGUUUAGAACGUCGUGAGACAGUUCGGUCCCUAUCUGCCGUGGGCGUUGGAAGAUUGAAGGGGGCUGCUCCUAGUACGAGAGGACCGGAGUGGACGAACCUCUGGUGUUCGGGUUGUGUCGCCAGACGCAUUGCCCGGUAGCUAAGUUCGGAAUCGAUAACCGCUGAAAGCAUCUAAGCGGGAAGCGAGCCCUGAGAUGAGUCUUCCCUGAUACUUUAAGUAUCCUAAAGGGUUGUCGGAGACUACGACGUUGAUAGGUCAGGUGUGUAAGUGCUGUGAGGCAUUGAGCUAACUGAUACUAAUUGCCCGUGAGGCUUAACCAUACAACACCCAAGGGGUUU
rnacentral:rRNA from 1 species